GUCGAGCGAAUCGAUGGGAGCUUGCUCCCUGAGAUUAGCGGCGCNUUUNNNGAGUAACACGUGGGCAACCUGCCUAUAAGACUGGGNUAACUUCGGGAAACCGGAGCUAAUACCGGAUACGUUCUUUUCUCGCAUGAGAGAAGAUGGAAAGACGGUUUACGCUGUCACUUAUAGAUGGGCCCGCGGCGCAUUAGCUAGUUGGUGAGGUAAUGGCUCACCAAGGCGACGAUGCGUAGCCGACCUGAGAGGGUGAUCGGCCACACUGGGACUGAGACACGGCCCAGACUCCUACGGGAGGCAGCAGUAGGGAAUCUUCCGCAAUGGACGAAAGUCUGACGGAGCAACGCCGCGUGAACGAAGAAGGCCUUCGGGUCGUAAAGUUCUGUUGUUAGGGAAGAACAAGUACCAGAGUAACUGCUGGUACCUUGACGGUACCUAACCAGAAAGCCACGGCUAACUACGUGCCAGCAGCCGCGGUAAUACGUAGGUGGCAAGCGUUGUCCGGAAUUAUUGGGCGUAAAGCGCGCGCAGGUGGUUCCUUAAGUCUGAUGUGAAAGCCCACGGCUCAACCGUGGAGGGUCAUUGGAAACUGGGGAACUU
rnacentral:rRNA from 1 species